UUAGUACUCCCGCCGUCCCGAAAUACUUGUCGCAGAAAUGGAUGUAUCUAGACGUAUUUUUAGUUCUAGAUACAUCCAUUUCUAUCUAUUUCUGCGACAAGUAAUUUGGGACGGAGGGAGUAAUAU
rfam:Triticum aestivum genome assembly, contig: Triticum_aestivum_CS42_TGACv1_scaffold_362440_4DS